rnacentral:rRNA from 1 species
AACGAACGCUGGCGGCAUGCCUAACACAUGCAAGUCGAACGGGAUCCGGACUUCGGUUCGGUGAGAGUGGCGGACGGGUGAGUAACGCGUGGGAACCUGCCCAGUGGUGGGGGAUAACUGCGGGAAACUGCAGCUAAUACCGCAUGAGCCCGAGAGGGGAAAGAUUUAUCGCCAUUGGAGGGGCCCGCGUUCGAUUAGGUAGUUGGUGGGGUAACGGCCCACCAAGCCGACGAUCGAUAGCUGGUCUGAGAGGAUGAUCAGCCACACUGGGACUGAGAUACGGCCCAGACUCCUACGGGAGGCAGCAGUGGGGAAUAUUGGACAAUGGGGGCAACCCUGAUCCAGCAAUGCCGCGUGAGUGAUGAAGGCCUUCGGGUUGUAAAGCUCUUUUGCUAGGGACGAUGAUGACGGUACCUGGAGAAUAAGCCCCGGCUAACUUCGUGCCAGCAGCCGCCGUAAUAC